AGUGAACGCUGGCGGUAGGCCUAACACAUGCAAGUCGAACGGCAGCACAGUAAGAGCUUGCUCUUACGGGUGGCGAGUGGCGGACGGGUGAGGAAUACAUCGGCAUCUACUUUUUCGUGGGGGAUAACGUAGGGAAACUUACGCUAAUACCGCAUACGACCUACGGGUGAAAGCAGGGGAUCUUCGGACCUUGCGCGAUUGAAUGAGCCGAUGUCGGAUUAGCUAGUUGGCGGGGUAAAGGCCCACCAAGGCGACGAUCCGUAGCUGGUCUGAGAGGAUGAUCAGCCACACUGGAACUGAGACACGGUCCAGACUCCUACGGGAGGCAGCAGUGGGGAAUAUUGGACAAUGGGCGCAAGCCUGAUCCAGCCAUACCGCGUGGGUGAAGAAGGCCUUCGGGUUGUAAAGCCCUUUUGUUGAGAAAGAAAAGCAGCAGGUUAAUACCCCGCUGUUCUGACGGUACCCAAAGAAUAAGCACCGGCUAACUUCGUG
rnacentral:rRNA from 1 species